rnacentral:lncRNA from 1 species
CUUUGGGCUGGUUGAGCUGGGGCCCUUGGGAAAAAGCCACAUGGAGCAGUGGGGUCUGAGGCUUGAUGGAAGGUGUGGGUGAGCCUGGAACCCUGUUCCCUUCUGCUCUCUCAUACUCUGCAGCGUCCUAGGAAAGGACCUCGUACGAUAAAAAUUAAGACAAGAUCCCCCUCUCCCCUUUUUUUGAAAGAUAGACUGUGCUUUGCCUUGUGGGGUCGCCUGAGAACUCUGCAUUCUGUUGUUCUGAUGAGGGACUUCCUUUUGCUCAGCAGGUGAGAGCUGGUGGGGCAGGGCCCCCAGCAGCGUGUGAGCCACGGGAGUGCUCUGUGACCCCAGUAAUCUCCUUUGAUCCCCAGGAGCCGUAGUGGGACAGAGGCCAGAUGCAGCCUUUGCUUUCACAGCAUCCCUGCCUUUCCUCUAGCCAGGACUCCUCAACCCGGUCCGCGGACGUGUACAAGUCCAUACCCCUGCCCGCUUGUGUUUGUGAACCUGGAAACGUGGCGGGCGCGUGUGCAUGUAACUGUUAGGAAUCCACGUUGAUGCGGGCGAGCGGGGAGGUCAUUUCCAUUCCAGACUCUUUCCUUUCACCUUAAAAAAAAAAUCAGACUAUUUUCUUGUAGCUUAUCCGUGCAAGGAAAUACCCUUUUUUUUUUUUUUUUUUUUUAAUUCUGUCUGUUUCCAGCCAUGUUCUUUGGCUUGAUCAUAUGUCAGUAUUUUAUUCCUCUUUGGAGCUAAGACUAAGCUUGUUUUAAUGGAUGUUUCUUAGGAUAAGCUAAGUGAUGACACAUCACUUAAUUUGGUGUGUAUACUGCUUUAAUUACCGAAAACUGUCUUCGAUAAUAACAUAGGAGAUAGGAAAGGUAGGAAUAGCAUUUGAAUUAUUCUCUGUCCUUCUGUCUCUGGAUGUGGAAUAACUGCUCUUGAAUUUAUACAUUCUUGGUCCUUGAGGAACCGUAAAAGCCUACCCUUACAUAUAUAUGAAAUGGAGAGAAACUGCAUAUUUAUUAAGAAUCAUGACCCUUAGGACUAGAUAAGUCAAAUUAAAUCUCAUAAAAAUCUGUUAUGGAAAAUGAAUACAUGGCAAUUUUUUUUCUUUUAGGGCAUACUUAUUAAUUUUGUCAUGUUUAAUAUGUUAGAGUUGCAAACAAAGGCAUAAGUGUGUGUGUUCAUUCCUAAUUAAUUUAUGUAAUUGGGUUUUAUAAAUUUAGGUGUUUAGGAAGCUGUACAUAACACACCCCAUUUACUGUGUGCUGUAGCCAAUAAAAGCAUAAUAGAAAGAAAUAUAGUUUGAAGCUCACUUCAGUGGUAAAUAUAGAUUAAUUGUAAAUGAUAUCUUUGUAAUGUUUAUUUUAAAUUUUGCAAUGCUGCACAUUUUGCGAACCUACCAAUUAAUGUUCUGAUUUGAAAUAAUGACUAGGUUAAUUACUACAAAUUGUAAGUGCUCUAUCUCUGACAAUUAAAAAGUCUCUUACAGCUUUUGUUUAGUUCCCUCUGAAUUACAUGAGUAGCAGUACGGCAUCGGGGAAAGAAGACUUAAGAAUAGAAGGAGGGUGUUUAAAAUAUGGGUAGUUUUGUCAUUUUCUGUUUUGGAUGAUUGUAUGUGUGUGUGCGUACACACAUGCACACACAUUUAUGUGUAAUUUCUGUUUACAUUACAGAGACAGACAGUCAAAAAAUCUGAAAUGUAUUUUUUUAAAGUAAGAUAUAAAUUACAAUGUGUAAAUCAAAUACACUGUGUUAAAACCAGUGACUUUUAAAUAAGCCUCUCUGUCAUCGUGACGUGGCCAUGGUGCUCCCCGAGAUCUCAGGUUGGCAGCACAUCUGCCUCUGCAGUCUGACGCACAGGACCAGUUUGAUGGGAAAGGGCCUGGCCUAUGUCACUGGUCUCCCCAGGGUUUAUUAGCCUACCAGGGAAGGCCGUUGUUCUCUCCUCACCCCAGCUCAAAAAGACGGUGAGAAAUCCACAUCAGUGCUACCCUGCUUCUAGCCAAGGAGUUGAAUGUGGUCAGGCUCACUUUCUUCAUGAAUGCAUUUAAACAAAAGACUCUGCGUUGGUUUAGAGCAAAGCAUCUUCCUCUUUGUUUUUUGUCUUUUUAGGGCCGCAACUGUGGCAUAUGGAAGUUCCAGGGCUGGGGUUGAAUCAGAGCUGCACCUGCUGGCCUACACCACAGCCACAGUGAUGCAGGAUCCGAGCUGCGUUUGCGACCUGCGCCACAGCUCAGGGCAGUGCUGGAUCCUUAAUCCACUCAGCGAGGCCAGGGAUCGAACCCUCAUCCUCAUAGAUGCUAGUGAGUUUCGUUACCUCUGAGCCACGAUGGAAACUCCAACACAUCUUUCUCUUUGAACAACAGCGAGUACACGGGGCUAUUUGAAUACCGUGUUAUAUGCCUUUGAGAAAUCACUGGAUUCACAGGGUCCUUUGUAAAUUUAAUACCUCCCUCCAGGGAGAGAAUCUGUGUGCAGGGUCAAUUGGGAGUGCCUUUGGUACAUUCUCUUUUGUGCCUUACAGGUUAAAGGAGAGUGUUGGAUUUGCUUCUAUAAGUAUGGGCUUGCUGAACUUCCAAAAACCGUGAAUAAUCAUGUCUAAACAUAAAUACUAUAUGUGGAGUAAGUGUCAUGGAUCCCAUUUAUGAUGGAAUAUGUAUGUCUUUCCAAGGCUAAGACCUUCAUAAUUCAUUUAUAAGUUACAUUCCUUCCAUGUAAGUAACAGAAGAGUCAUUUUCUUCAUUCUUUCCAGAGAAUUGUCACACCGGGAAGAGGGAAAGAAAAGGACAAACUUUUUCCAGUAGAAUGCCAUUCAGAGAUAAGUAGAAAAAAGUAUUAGAGCAAAG